CCCAGUAGUAGUCAGCUGGGCAGGCCAGUCCUGUGCCUGAGCUAGUGUUACUCUGCUGGGAGAGAAUAGCAGUGCCACACGGACUCAGGGCUGGAGCUGCUGUUUUUGUGGCUGUUGCUGUGAGAGUUAGGUGGUGCUGUGCGCCCUCUGAGAGUGGGUAGUGUCCAGCUGUGGAUACUGCCCUAGUCUGGAGGCAAACAAC